AGGAUGAACGCUGGCGGCGUGCCUAACACAUGCAAGUCGAACGUCCUGUCUCGCAAGAGGCAGGGAGUGGCGGACGGGUGAGUACCACGUGGGUCAUCUACCGUGAGGUGAGGAAUACCGGCGAGAAAUCGCCGACAAGACCGCAUAGGCUCGAUGCAAGUCGAGCAAAGCUCUUUCGAGAGAGGGAGCGCCACACGAGGAGCCUGCGCCCGAUUAGCUAGCUGGUGGAGUAACGGUUCACCAGGGCGACGAUCGGUAGCUGGUCUGAGAGGACGAUCAGCCACACUGGGAUUGAGAACGGCCCAGACUCCUACGGGGGGCAGCAGUGAGGAAUUUUCGUCAAUGGGGGCAACCCUGAACGAGCAACGCCGCGUGCAGGAAGAAGGUUUUCGGAUCGUAAACUGCUUUUCGUCGGGGAAGAGAACGGACGGUACCCGAGGAAUCAGCCCCGGCUAACUACGUGCCAGCAGCCGCGGU
rnacentral:rRNA from 1 species